CCGACCCGUCGUAAGCAGCGGACUGAUGGGAGCACGGGAUUUAUUCGGUCGGAAUGAGUUCCUCCUGCGGACGUCAAAAACUUUAGCGAUUCUUUUUCUGAUUUGGCACACACAACGCAUGACCUUCAGCCCAUUGGCUGGCUGUUCCCUGGAAGCAAUCCGAACGAACAAACAUCCGACUGCCCGAAACAUCAUGUCGGAUUAACAGUUGACCACAUAUCUUAAUACCCAGACAGGUAAGACUUUUAUUUUGGCAGAUCCUGCAUCGAAGUGGCAAAUGAUUCCUUCCGGUUGGCCUUCAAGUACACUCAAGAAACCGACCGACUGGUACCAUUUUCUUGCAACAGACCAAAGCCCAUAAAACAGCCGGAGUAGCUGCAUGAAAGAAUUUUUAAUGGUCUACUGACGCUUUCCUGUACCAAGCCAUCUUCAUGACUUCGCCCAGGCUAGGAAAAACUGCCUUCGAACCGGACGCGUCCACCAGAGGCCAAAGAUGAUACCCAAAUUCCAAGUUUAACAUCUUACUCGGGUCGUUGCGAUGAACGGUCAGGCCGACAGACAUGGUCCAGAUUGUGUUUUGCCUUUUUAAUGUGCCCCAUAUACAUAGAAAGUCAAUUGAAGAAGCAAUCGCACUUUAAACAUAUUCCAUAUGCUAUUUAUCAGAUUCCACGCAAUCUUCAACGAACUUCAACCAGCUCAAUAUACUCGUGUUGUUUGUGCAAAUGACCUACAACGAACUGUGGCCGAUAUAUUUCAAUUGCAGUGUCUACGUUGGCGCACAAAUUUCGCAUUCCAGAGUUUGGGUCAUAUCUCUAGAGGAUUGUCUGCCCUAUGCAUAAACAUGCGCACAUACACACAAACAAACACACACGCACAAACGCACACACACACACACACAAAGAGUGAAAACAGGAAGCUCGCCCAGUAGCCAAUGGCCAAUGGCAUUUUUAUGCAUGUGUUUAUUUUUGUUGAAAUGCAUUCGUCGUCAUUGCUAAAUCAAGACGCAGUCAAAAAGUCAACACACAAAAUAUAAUGAUAAAAAAAAAAAUAUAUAUAUAUAUAUAUAUAUAUGACACGAACCAAGCGGCGCGAUCAAUCGAUUUCGAUGCUUUAUCCCGUCGAGGCAACCAUUAAGAUCCCGAAAUGCGCUGUGAGCAGUAAAACAACUAAGAGAUCUCUGGUCGAGAGUAGAUAAACCCGACUUGAGGAUAAGCUGAGCCCAACGUCGUUAAUGCAGCGACUGUGCUUGAUCUUCCCUUUGUCCCAGACAAUGAAUGGGAAAUGCAUUUAUGAUUAACUUGGUUGUUUGUUGUCCAAACUUUGUGCAACUUUUAGGAUAUGAAUUUUGCAUCCUAGCUUGUGUACAUACCAAAGACGAGCAUGUAUCUCCAUAUGGAUCUAGAUCUAAACGAGUCUUUAGUGUCGCUAUAAGCAUUAUUCUAUAUACUCAAAAAAAAUCGAAAAAUACUCAAAUUAUCGAAAUGUAUAUUAGAAUCAUUUUUGUGAGGCUGUCUCCUAUCUAAUACAGUUAAGAGAAAAAUUGUAAAUACAAACGAUGUAAUGAGACGUUCUCAAAAAAAAUUGAAAAAAUUAAAAAACAAAAUAUAACACCCCAUUGUAAUAAGGACUGUUGAUUGACAACAAAUUGAAAAAAACGCACACUGUACUAAAUGUCAAAGAGAACUGAAUUUUGGGAAGCCAAAAGUGUUAACUAACAUAUUAAAACAAGUAUCGAAUAGUUAAUUGAUAGAUAAAGACAGAUUAUACUGCUAAUGAAAACAUCAA